rnacentral:rRNA from 1 species
AAAUUGAAGAGUUUGAUCAUGGCUCAGAUUGAACGCUGGCGGCAGGCCUAACACAUGCAAGUCGAACGGUAGCACAGAGAGCUUGCUCUCGGGUGACGAGUGGCGGACGGGUGAGUAAUGUCUGGGAAACUGCCUGAUGGAGGGGGAUAACUACUGGAAACGGUGGCUAAUACCGCAUAACGUCGCAAGACCAAAGAGGGGGACCUUCGGGCCUCUUGCCAUCAGAUGUGCCCAGAUGGGAUUAGCUAGUUGGUGAGGUAACGGCUCACCAAGGCGACGAUCCCUAGCUGGUCUGAGAGGAUGACCAGCCACACUGGAACUGAGACACGGUCCAGACUCCUACGGGAGGCAGCAGUGGGGAAUAUUGCACAAUGGGCGCAAGCCUGAUGCAGCCAUGCCGCGUGUAUGAAGAAGGCCUUCGGGUUGUAAAGUACUUUCAG